rnacentral:rRNA from 1 species
GAUGAACGCUGGCGGCGUGCGUAAUACAUGCAAGUCGAGCGAACAGACGAGGAGCUUGCUCCUCUGACGUUAGCGGCGGACGGGUGAGUAACACGUGGAUAACCUACCUAUAAGACUGGGAUAACUUCGGGAAACCGGAGCUAAUACCGGAUAAUAUAUUGAACCGCAUGGUUCAAUAGUGAAAGACGGUUUUGCUGUCACUUAUAGAUGGAUCCGCGCCGCAUUAGCUAGUUGGUAAGGUAACGGCUUACCAAGGCGACGAUGCGUAGCCGACCUGAGAGGGUGAUCGGCCACACUGGAACUGAGACACGGUCCAGACUCCUACGGGAGGCAGCAGUAGGGAAUCUUCCGCAAUGGGCGAAAGCUUGACGGAGCAACGCCGCGUGAGUGAUGAAGGUCUUCGGAUCGUAAAACUCUGUUAUUAGGGAAGAACAAAUGUGUAAGUAACUAUGCACGUCUUGACGGUACCUAAUCAGAAAGCCACGGCUAACUACGUG